AACUCUUUUUCCCUGGAACAAAUUGUCUUCUUUCUGUUGCAGACAGCGAUUUCUUCUUCAUCUUCAUCUUCUUCACGGUUCUUCUCUUCUUCUUCUUCUUUAUCGUUUUCACGUGGCUGCUUCUAGUUCCAAAACCAUUGGAGAAAGACACUAGAGCUCCCAGUGAAGAUUCGUUUUGAAUCCGUUGAAUUGUUAAUUUUUUUUUCAUCAAUUCAAUCUUGCCGUCGAGCGAAUUACGAUAUUUUUAGGGGUUUAUUAGGGUUUCAAUCGUAAUCAGUUUGUUCAAUUCGAUGAUUUUCGUCGGAUGAAUGAAGUUGGUGCUCCGUCGAUCGAUCUCGUUCGAUUCAUCUUAAGAUUCUUAGCAUCGUUUUCGUUCUAAGCGAUGGAUCAUGAUACGAUCAGCAAUAAGUUCAGAAAGUUUUGUUUCCAUGGAAACGGCUUUUAUGGGAAAAGAUGAAAAUAUUGAUUGCGCCGUCUUAGAGGGUUUGCAGAAGUAUGUCAAGGAAAAACCAGGGCUUUCCCACCUUCUAACUGCUUAGAAUGUGAUUGUCGCCUGGGCAUUUGGAUAUACCUUUGGUGUUUCAUGAUGAUGGUCAUUUGUUGCUUGCAGAGGAUGAAAUUUACUGAAAUCAACUCCUUCAAAAGUCCUCUCGACAAGUUGCUUUGCAUAACAAGCUGUUGCACGCUCAUUAGCAACCUGACGCAUCCAAGUAGAUGAACCGUAGUCUGGCUGGAGCAGAUGUGUUCUUUCCCUUCCUCAUAUAUGUUACAAUCAAGGCAAAUCCUCUUCACUUGCUUUACAACCUCAUGUUCGUCCGGCUAUACUGGAGGAAGGCCAAAAGUGUCUCUGAGGGUGUUUAUUAUUUGACUCAAUUUGUUUCAGCCAAGACAUUUAUUAAUGGAAUUCUUGAAGAAACUGUGCCAGAGAAAGAUCAUUUCAGAGAAGCAAGUCCAGCUUGAUUGUUAAGUGACUUAAGAAGUUUUGCAGCGCUGAGUAAGAAGGUAGAAUCUGGCAUCAAUGAGAUGCAAUGACAUGCUUUUAAUAAUUGAUCUGGGCAACCCAUGAAGGCAGAGGUAUGUGUGAGAUUUAAGAGUAAAGUGCAGAUAUGAAGCAAGUAUAUGAAGCAAGUAAAAAAAGAAGAAAGGUCAGAAACAGUAGCAUUCAAUGGCAAAACCAACAGUUCAGGUGGAGGGGCUGGGCAUUCUUUGGACUCAUCGGAAAGCUCAACACAGCACCAGAGGUUGAUUGCAAAGGGGUUCACUGUGCUAGACAGAUAAGCGGUGCACAUUGCUGACAGGUUCAAGCCUGAAGUUCAUAUGCAAAGUUUAAGAUAAUUAUGGAACACUGGAAACCAACCAACCCGAGCAGAAUAAUAAGAGACAUCUCUUGAAAAUUUACCUGUACU